rnacentral:lncRNA from 10 species
GGGUCUGUAUCUCAAAGCCUUUAAAAUGCUGAUGGAAGGAGUGGAGAUCCAGCGUUCAGGGUAGAAAAGAGGAAAAUCCAUGGAACCAUAAUCUAUGGAUGGCUUUAGGAAUGGGAUUGACUGCAAAGGAGCACAAGGGAACUUCCUGGGGUGAUGGAAAUGUUUUGUCUUGAUUGUGGUAAUGAUUACAUGACUAUGUUUGUCAAAAUUCCAGAACUUUAUACCUAAAAGGGUGAAUUUUACUGCAUGUAAAUUAUACCUAAACACAUGACUUUUUAAAAAGGCCUGAAAUCUUAACUACUCAGCUAAAAAUAAAAUAAAAUAAAAUAAAC